GAAAAAACAAAUUUGGUAGACAACAACUUACGACAGCCAUUGACUUACACGAUCUUGACGUUGAACAGGCAUAAACAUACUGUCACGUCCGUUUAGCAUUUGAUAUCGGUGUAACAGCAUAACAAUUUAAUGAAUUGAGCGACACACAGCACAAAAAAGAACAAACUAAACAAAACAUAAAGACACAUCAGAAAAAACGCA
rnacentral:lncRNA from 1 species